rnacentral:pre_miRNA from 1 species
AAUAAAUGAUGUUUUACUUUGUUCACAUCCAAUUUCUUUUUACCGUUCAUCUUAUUAGAACUUUUUUAUGAUUAGUAUUUUUUUAUUAAAUGAUAAAAUAUAAAUAGUACUUUUAUGUGUGACUGAUUUUUUAAAAAAAUUUCAUAAAAUUUUUAAAUAAGUCAGGUUGGAUACGGAUAUCCACGGCUACACUUAUU